UCCAAAGUAAGUUCCGAUCUAUAGGAGUUUUCGAUUUUUUCGUUAUUCAAUGGUUUUUUUUCCUGAUUUUUGGAAUCUCAUUUUGUUCAACACGAUAUCCAAAAUCGAUUAAUUGUGAUGUUUUUUUUCACUUUUUCAAGGUGUUAAUCUGGUUGGAAAAGCGGUGAAAGUAGUUUGUUCAUCGAAAACGCAGAGAUUUG
rnacentral:lncRNA from 1 species